UACGGGGGGUGCAAGCGUUAUCCGGAUUCACUGGGUUUAAAGGGUGCGUAGGUGGGUAGGUAAGUCAGUGGUGAAAUCUCCAAGCUUAACUUGGAAACUGCCGUUGAUACUAUUUAUCUUGAAUAUAGUGGAGGUGAGCGGAAUAUGUCAUGUAGCGGUGAAAUGCUUAGAUAUGACAUAGAACACCAAUUGCGAAGGCAGCUUGCUACACUACUAUUGACACUGAGGCACGAAAGCGUGGGGAUCAAACAGG
rnacentral:rRNA from 1 species